AGAGUUUGAUCCUGGCUCAGGACGAACGCUGGCGGCGUGCUUAACACAUGCAAGUCAAGGAGAACGGAGAUCUUCGGAUUUCUUAUUAAACUGGCGAACGGGUGAGUAACACGUAGGUAACCUGCCUUUAAGACUGGGAUAACUUCGUUAACACGGAGCUAAUACCGGAUAUAAUCUCUCUUUCGCAUGUUAGAGAGAUGAAAGUUGCCGUAAGGUAACACUUUUAGAUGGACCUGCGUCCCAUUAGUUAGUUGGUGAGGUAACGGCUCACCAAGACCGCGAUGGGUAGCCGACCUGAGAGGGUGAUCGGCCACACUGGGACUGAGAUACGGCCCAGACUCCUACGGGAGGCAGCAGUGAGGAAUAUUGCGCAAUGGACGAAAGUCUGACGCAGCAACGCCGCGUGAGUGAUGAAGCUCUAAGGAGUGUAAAGCUCUGUUAGGAGGGAAGAAUGGUAUCGAUGUAAAUAAUGUCGAUAUGUGACGGUACCUCCAGAGAAAGCCCCGGCUAACUCCGUGCCAGCAGCCGCGGUAAUACGGGGGGGGCAAGCGUUGUCCGGAAUCAUUGGGCGUAAAGAGCGCGUAGGCGGAAUUGUAUGUCAGAGGUGAAAACUACAGGCUUAACCUGUAGCCUGCCUUUGAAACUGCAGUUCUUGAGUACGGGAGAGGAAAGUGGAAUUCCUGGUGUAGCGGUGAAAUGCGUAGAUAUCAGGAAGAACACCGGUAGCGAAGGCGGCUUUCUGGCCCGUAACUGACGCUGAGGCGCGAAAGCGUGGGGAGCAAACAGGAUUAGAUACCCUGGUAGUCCACGCUGUAAACGAUGGGUACUAGGUGUUGGUCUGCCAUUGGUGGAUCGGUGCCGAAGCAAACGCAUUAAGUACCCCGCCUGGGGAGUACGAUCGCAAGGUUGAAACUCAAAGGAAUUGACGGGGGCCCGCACAAGCGGUGGAGCAUGUGGUUUAAUUCGAUGCAACGCGAAGAACCUUACCUGGGCUUGAAGUGUAACUGCAACCCAUUGAAAAAUGGGGUUCCUUCGGGACGGUUACAGAGGUGCUGCAUGGCUGUCGUCAGCUCGUGCCGUGAGGUGUUGGGUUAAGUCCCGCAACGAGCGCAACCCUUAUUCUUAGUUGCCAUCACAUUAUGGUGGGCACUCUAGGAAGACUGCCCCGGAUAACGGGGAGGAAGGUGGGGAUGACGUCAAGUCCUCAUGGCCCUUACGUCCAGGGCUACACACGUGCUACAAUGGCCAGUACAGCGGGAAGCAAGACCGUGAGGUGGAGCAAAUCCCUUAAAACUGGUCUCAGUUCGGAUUGUAGUCUGCAACUCGACUACAUGAAGUCGGAAUCGCUAGUAAUCGCGGAUCAGCAUGCCGCAGUGAAUGCGUUCCCGGGCCUUGUACACACCGCCCGUCACGCCAUGGAAGUCGGUAGCACCCGAAGCCAGUGGCCCAACUCUUCGGAGAGGGAACUGUCGAAGGUGAGAUCGAUGACUGGGGCGAAGUCGUAACAAGGUA
rnacentral:rRNA from 1 species